UUUGGUUAAGUUAGAAAGGGCGCACGGUGGAUGCCUUGACACUAGGAGUCGAUGAAGGACGGGACUAACGCCGAUAUGCUUCGGGGAGCUGUAAGUAAGCUUUGAUCCGAAGAUUUCCGAAUGGGGAAACCCACCAUACGUAAUGGUAUGGUAUCCUUAUCUGAAUACAUAGGGUAAGGAAGACAGACCCAGGGAACUGAAACAUCUAAGUACCUGGAGGAAGAGAAAGCAAAUGCGAUUUCCUGAGUAGCGGCGAGCGAAACGGAACAUAGCCCAAACCAAGAGGCUUGCCUCUUGGGGUUGUAGGACAUUCUAUACGGAGUUACAAAGGAACGAGGUAGACGAAGCGACCUGGAAAGGUCCGUCGUAGAGGGUAACAACCCCGUAGUCGAAACUUCGUUCUCUCUUGAAUGUAUCCUGAGUACGGCGGAACACGUGAAAUUCCGUCGGAAUCUGGGAGGACCAUCUCCCAAGGCUAAAUACUCCCUAGUGAUCGAUAGUGAACCAGUACCGUGAGGGAAAGGUGAAAAGCACCCCGGAAGGGGAGUGAAAGAGAUCCUGAAACCGUGUGCCUACAAAUAGUCAGAGCCCGUUAACGGGUGAUGGCGUGCCUUUUGUAGAAUGAACCGGCGAGUUACGAUCCCGUGCGAGGUUAAGCUGAAGAGGCGGAGCCGCAGCGAAAGCGAGUCUGAAUAGGGCGUUUAGUACGUGGUCGUAGACCCGAAACCCAGGUGAUCUACCCAUGUCCAGGGUGAAGUUCAGGUAACACUGAAUGGAGGCCCGAACCCACGCACGUUGAAAAGUGCGGGGAUGAGGUGUGGGUAGCGGAGAAAUUCCAAUCGAACCUGGAGAUAGCUGGUUCUCCCCGAAAUAGCUUUAGGGCUAGCCUUAAGUGUAAGAGUCUUGGAGGUAGAGCACUGAUUGGACUAGGGGUCCUCAUCGGAUUACCGAAUUCAGUCAAACUCCGAAUGCCAAUGACUUAUCCUUAGGAGUCAGACUGCGAGUGAUAAGAUCCGUAGUCAAAAGGGAAACAGCCCAGACCGCCAGCUAAGGUCCCAAAGUGUGUAUUAAGUGGAAAAGGAUGUGGAGUUGCUUAGACAACUAGGAUGUUGGCUUAGAAGCAGCCACCAUUUAAAGAGUGCGUAAUAGCUCACUAGUCGAGUGACUCUGCGCCGAAAAUGUACCGGGGCUAAAUACACCACCGAAGCUGCGGAUUGAUACCAAUGGUAUCAGUGGUAGGGGAGCGUUCUAAGGACAGUGAAGUCAGACCGGAAGGACUGGUGGAGUGCUUAGAAGUGAGAAUGCCGGUAUGAGUAGCGAAAGACGGGUGAGAAUCCCGUCCACCGAAUGCCUAAGGUUUCCUGAGGAAGGCUCGUCCGCUCAGGGUUAGUCAGGACCUAAGCCGAGGCCGACAGGCGUAGGCGAUGGACAACAGGUUGAUAUUCCUGUACCACCUCUUUAUCGUUUGAGCAAUGGAGGGACGCAGAAGGAUAGAAGAAGCGUGCGAUUGGUUGUGCACGUCCAAGCAGUUAGGCUGAUAAGUAGGCAAAUCCGCUUAUCGUGAAGGCUGAGCUGUGAUGGGGAAGCUCCUUAUGGAGCGAAGUCUUUGAUUCCCCGCUGCCAAGAAAAGCUUCUAGCGAGAUAAAAGGUGCCUGUACCGCAAACCGACACAGGUAGGCGAGGAGAGAAUCCUAAGGUGUGCGAGAGAACUCUGGUUAAGGAACUCGGCAAAAUGACCCCGUAACUUCGGGAGAAGGGGUGCUUUCUUAACGGAAAGCCGCAGUGAAUAGGCCCAAGCGACUGUUUAGCAAAAACACAGCUCUCUGCGAAGCCGUAAGGCGAAGUAUAGGGGGUGACACCUGCCCGGUGCUGGAAGGUUAAGGAGAGGGGUUAGCGUAAGCGAAGCUCUGAACUGAAGCCCCAGUAAACGGCGGCCGUAACUAUAACGGUCCUAAGGUAGCGAAAUUCCUUGUCGGGUAAGUUCCGACCCGCACGAAAGGUGUAACGAUUUGGGCACUGUCUCAACCAGAGACUCGGUGAAAUUAUAGUACCUGUGAAGAUGCAGGUUACCCGCGACAGGACGGAAAGACCCCGUGGAGCUUUACUGUAGCCUGAUAUUGAAUUUUGGUACAGUUUGUACAGGAUAGGCGGGAGCCAUUGAAACCGGAGCGCUAGCUUCGGUGGAGGCGCUGGUGGGAUACCGCCCUGACUGUAUUGAAAUUCUAACCUACGGGUCUUAUCGACCCGGGAGACAGUGUCAGGUGGGCAGUUUGACUGGGGCGGUCGCCUCCUAAAGUGUAACGGAGGCGCCCAAAGGUUCCCUCAGAAUGGUUGGAAAUCAUUCGUAGAGUGCAAAGGCAUAAGGGAGCUUGACUGCGAGACCUACAAGUCGAGCAGGGACGAAAGUCGGGCUUAGUGAUCCGGUGGUUCCGCAUGGAAGGGCCAUCGCUCAACGGAUAAAAGCUACCCCGGGGAUAACAGGCUUAUCUCCCCCAAGAGUCCACAUCGACGGGGAGGUUUGGCACCUCGAUGUCGGCUCAUCGCAUCCUGGGGCUGUAGUCGGUCCCAAGGGUUGGGCUGUUCGCCCAUUAAAGCGGUACGCGAGCUGGGUUCAGAACGUCGUGAGACAGUUCGGUCCCUAUCCGUCGUGGGCGUAGGAAAUUUGAGAGGAGCUGUCCUUAGUACGAGAGGACCGGGAUGGACGCACCGCUGGUGUACCAGUUGUUCUGCCAAGGGCAUAGCUGGGUAGCUAUGUGCGGAAGGGAUAAGUGCUGAAAGCAUCUAAGCAUGAAGCCCCCCUCAAGAUGAGAUUUCCCAUAGCGUAAGCUAGUAAGAUCCCUGAAAGAUGAUCAGGUUGAUAGGUUCGAGGUGGAAGCAUGGUGACAUGUGGAGCUGACGAAUACUAAUAGAUCGAGGACUUAACCAUAUAA
rnacentral:rRNA from 1 species